AGAGUUUGAUCCUGGCUCAGGACGAACGCUGGCGGCGUGCCUAACACAUGCAAGUCGAACGAGAACCCGGAGCUUGCUCCGGGGGACAGUGGCGAACGGGUGAGUAACACGUGAGAAACCUGCCCUGAAGACCGGGACAACCAUUGGAAACGAUGGCUAAUACCGGAUGCCCUCACAUGACCGCAUGGUCGAGUGAGGAAAUGCUCUGGCGCUUCAGGAGGGUCUCGCGGCCUAUCAGCUAGUUGGUGGGGUAAUGGCCUACCAAGGCAUCGACGGGUAGCUGGUCUGAGAGGACGAUCAGCCACACUGGGACUGAGACACGGCCCAGACUCCUACGGGAGGCAGCAGUGGGGAAUAUUGCGCAAUGGGGGAAACCCUGACGCAGCAACGCCGCGUGUGGGAUGACGGCUUUCGGGUUGUAAACCACUUUCAGUGACGACGAAAAUGACGGUAGUCACAGAAGAAGGUCCGGCCAACUACGUGCCAGCAGCCGCGGUAACACGUAGGGACCAAGCGUUGUCCGGAUUUAUUGGGCGUAAAGAGCUCGUAGGCGGUUUCGUAAGUCGGAUGUGAAAUUCCGAGGCUCAACCUCGGAACUGCAGUGGAUACUGCUGUGACUCGAGUCCGGUAGAGGAGAAUGGAAUUCCCGGUGUAGCGGUGAAAUGCGCAGAUAUCGGGAGGAACACCAGUAGCGAAGGCGGUUCUCUGGGCCGGCACUGACGCUGAGGAGCGAAAGCGUGGGUAGCAAACAGGAUUAGAUACCCUGGUAGUCCACGCCGUAAACGUUGGAUACUAGGUGUGGCGGUCUUACCAAACGGUCCCCGUGCCGAAGCUAACGCAUUAAGUAUCCCGCCUGGGGAGUACGGCCGCAAGGCUAAAACUCAAAGGAAUUGACGGGUCCCCGCACAAGCGGUGGAGUAUGUGGUUUAAUUCGAUGCAACGCGAAGAACCUUACCUGGAUUUGACAUCCUCGGAACUUUUCAGAGAUGAUUAGGUGCCUUCGGGAGCCGAGUGACAGGUGCUGCAUGGCUGUCGUCAGCUCGUGUCGUGAGAUGUUGGGUUAAGUCCCGCAACGAGCGCAACCCUUGUCCUUAGUUACCAUCAUUCAGUUGGGGACUCUAAGGAGACUGCCGGUGUUAAACCGGAGGAAGGUGGGGAUGACGUCAAGUCCUCAUGGCCCUUACAUCCAGGGCUACACACGUACUACAAUGGUCGGUACAAUGAGUCGCCAAGCCGCAAGGUGGAGCUAAUCCCAGAAAGCUGGUCGUAGUCCGGAUCGGAGUCUGCAACUCGACUCCGUGAAGUUGGAAUCGCUAGUAAUCGCGAAUCAGCAUUGUCGCGGUGAAUACGUUCCCGGGUCUUGUACACACCGCCCGUCACACCAUGGAAGUCGGCUGCACCUAGAAGCCGGUAGCCUAACCCUCGGGAGGGCGCCGUCCACGGUGUGGUCGAUGACUGGGGUGAAGUCGUAACGAAGGUAGCCGU
rnacentral:rRNA from 1 species